rnacentral:rRNA from 1 species
UAGAGUUUGAUCCUGGCUCAGAGCGAACGCUGGCGGCGUACUUAACACAUGCAAGUCGAACGAGGAUCAUCCGUGUAGCAAUACAUAGGUGGUCCUAGUGGCGCACGGGUGAGUAACACGUGGGUAACCUGCCCUUGAGUUCGGGAUACCCCCUCGAAAGGGGGGCUAAUACCGGAUACGUUCCUUGGAUCGACAGGUCUGGGGAGGAAAGGUGGCGCAAGCUGCCGCUCUUGGAGGGGCUCGCGGCCUAUCAGCUAGUUGGCGGGGUAACGGCCCACCAAGGCUAUGACGGGUAGCUGGUCUGACAGGACGACCAGCCACGCGGGGAGUGAAACACGGGCCCGACUCCUACGGGAGGCAUCACUGGGGACCUUUCCACAAUGGGACAAAGCCCUGACUAAGUAGACGCCGUGGGUGGGAUAAAAAGGUU